UUGAAAGGGCAGUUAUCACGGUUAAUCCACCCUCCAAGGUUUUUCCUCAGGAUAAUUAUUGUUUCGGUGAUUCAUCUUGCAGACCCUGCCCUUCCUUAUUCGCACAAAAUAUCCUACUCCCUGCAAUAUUUCUGGGUCAGGCUCGUGCCACACAUGUGAUUUCCUCUUGGGCACGCAGACAAGACAAGAUGGAUUUAAAGGUCAGGCAUCGCCGGGCUGGCCAACCUCUGCGCGCUAUGCGGGCGGCUUCGCGUGUCACCUACGGGACAUUAUCAGAUGGGUGAAGGUUUGCAGGGCGCACGGGAGCGGGGUGGUAAGGAAAAACAGUUGUCAUGGCUUAUCUGACCAACAGGGAACACGUCUGGUGCUGGCAAGUGGAGGUCUCUUGCUUGUACUGCAUCAGUCACAGCCUGGAAAGGGCAGGAGAAUCCUGCUCUGCUUAGUAAACAACUAUUGUGAUCUGAGAACUUUAGUUUUCAGCUGACGGUAUUUUGCACGCUGAACUCUUUCCAGGUCAGACACAGCGAACUCUGCUGGAAAUGCAGAUG